AGCUUUUAAUUAGCAAACCCUGAAGAUUAUUACAGUUUUCAUAGUACAACCCGGAAGAUUUUUAUUUUAUUUUAUUUUAGACCACUACACCUAACAUCACUUCAUCAUUCAUCAUUCAUCAUUCUACACUAAUUCCACUUCCACUACACCCACCACACCACUACUCCCACUUUCCCUCCCACUACUCCCACUUUCCCUCCCACUAAUCCUAUCCACCACUAUACUGUCAUCAUCAUCAUGCCCUUAUCAUCAAUACCCCAACACGCCUCCUGCAAAAUUCAGCCAAGAAUAACAGGAAGCACUAUGACAACAGCCGCACGCCUCAACAUAUAGUUCCAAAGGCUUUGUGACCAGGGGGAUUAGCGCUGCUUUCCCAAGACAUGUUUUUAUGUGUAUGAUCUUCAGGCUUUGCCUAAUCAGGUUGGCUGGCCGGUGCUGACGGGACGGAGCUGAGGCUAGAGUUAAAAUUCAUAUGUUAGACUUCCACUAUAGCAAUUACUCUUAUACAUCUUUUGUUUUCUCAACUUAAGAUGACUUCAUGUCGAGCUUAAAUUUGAAAUUCUAGUUUUAUGCUAAUGAAUGUUGGUUGUCAGAAACAUGAAACAAAACUUGUGAUCCAAAGGGGCAUAGCCCGACUUUCUAUCCUAUUUUGGGUUUUAACGAGGUAUUUCCCUUGUUUAUUUCUAUGAAUUAGUUGCACCUCGAUUAUAUUUAUUCAUUCAAGAAUUGGGGUGUGACAGAAUGGUAUCAGAGCAUGAGUUUUCUUUCAUGACUCUGAUAACCAUAAGCUUUUGAUGUCGAGUCUAGAAUAGUAUCUCUAGACUUCUAAGAAUGUCAGUAGCCCUCAGCUCACGGUCACACUGCCGCAACCAAGGUACGAUAAUAGUUUCAAAAAUAUACAUAUAUGUAUUUCAGAUGUUAUGAAAGUUUUCAAGAAAAGGUGCGCCUUAUGUUUACGAUGCUAUGUGAAUGCUUUUUGUCGUGUUUGGGACUACCCGAACCCAUAACGACUCAAUGAAUGUAUUUCGUGUUUGGGACAACCCGAGCCCUUAACGAAUCAAUGUAUGUAUGUAUGUAUGGUCGAGUUAGAUUCCUUGAAUCUUUCCGGCAUAAGCAAAGUUUUUCAUGAAAGGGACAUUUAAUGUCCAUAUGACUCAAAAUUUCAAAGAAAGCAAAUAUAUGUAUGUAUGUAUGUAUGUAUGAAUGAAUGAUGAGAAAGCUUUAUGUUAUCAUUUUAGGUUCACUGCCUAUAUGAUUAGAAUGAUGAGUUCUUUUACAAAUCGUUUGAGAACCACCCAAUAAUGCCUUACGAAUGUUAGUCGUGAUAGCACCGCUAGAACGACAUAGAAUGGACCUAUAUGAUACCAAAGAUUUAUGAUUGAAGUACUUAGAAGUAAGUGCUUUAAGUUAGAAGUUGACUUAGAGCUUUAUAAGAGAUAAGAAGUUGACAUGAUUGGGGGCGAAGCUCCCAUUUGACUGAGUAAUUCGUUGUGCUGGGUCUGGCCAGCCCACAUGACUAAGAUCUCGGUGAUUGUCAAUUUAGUCAUCCCAAUGUAUAAACUCGUACUAUAUAGUUGUCCCAAUAAGAUCUUCUUUGAUCACGAUAAGCAUAGUAUGAUUAGAAUGAGUUUGUUUGUCAACAGUUCUCGAGACAUGAGACGUAGCAUUCUCACGAUUAGAAAAUGUGAUAAGCAUCAAGCUAUGUAGGUGCACUGAUAGUGAAUGUCUAGUACUCCAAACUAGAUUUCCCAAGUAUGCAAUUUCGAGGACGAAAUUUUUAUAAGGAGGGAGGGAUGUAACACCCCGUUAUUUCUUAGCUAAAUUUAGAAUUAUUUUGAACUUAGAAGUCAGGAUGAUUCACGCCGGAUAUAAAGAAAAUGAAUUUAUUUUAAUUCCAACAAAAAUGAUUUACAAAAACAUUUGUAAAUUUAGUUAUUUAAUUUAUAUGCACUGCAUAUUUAUUAAAUUUAGCAUUCAAGUAUUUUCACGAGCUUUUAAUUAGCAAACCCUGAAGAUUAUUACAGUUUUCAUAGUACAACCCGGAAGAUUUUUAUUUUAUUUUAUUUUAGACCACUACACCUAACAUCACUUCAUCAUUCAUCAUUCAUCAUUCUACACUAAUUCCACUUCCACUACACCCACCACACCACUACUCCCACUUUCCCUCCCACUACUCCCACUUUCCCUCCCACUAAUCCUAUCCACCACUAUACUGUCAUCAUCAUCAUGCCCUUAUCAUCAAUACCCCAACACGCCUCCUGCAAAAUUCAGCCAAGAAUAACAGGAAGCACUAUGACAACAGCCGCACGCCUCAACAUAUAGUUCCAAAGGCUUUGUGACCAGGGGGAUUAGCGCUGCUUUCCCAAGACAUGUUUUUAUGUGUAUGAUCUUCAGGCUUUGCCUAAUCAGGUUGGCUGGCCGGUGCUGACGGGACGGAGCUGAGGCUAGAGUUAAAAUUCAUAUGUUAGACUUCCACUGUAGCAAUUACUCUUAUACAUCUUUUGUUUUCUCAACUUAAGAUGACUUCAUGUCGAGCUUAAAUUUGAAAUUCUAGUUUUAUGCUAAUGAAUGUUGGUUGUCAGAAACAUGAAACAAAACUUGUGAUCCAAAGGGGCAUAGCCCGACUUUCUAUCCUAUUUUGGGUUUUAACGAGGUA